rnacentral:lncRNA from 1 species
AAACAUACAGCAUAAAAAAAAAUGUAAAAACUACAUUAAACAUAUGUAAUAUUACUAUUUUUCACUUAAAAAAAAAGACGGCUUAUCUCCAUAAUGUAACAUUACCGUUUUCUAAAAAAACAAAAAACAUUAUAUAUAAUUUUGAAAAUAAUAAAUAUAUGUAAAACUUACAACAUAAAAAUGGAAAUACUACAUUAAACAUAUGUAAGAUUACCAUUUUACAUUUUUAUUUUAAGAAAAUAAUAUAUAAACAUACAACAUAAAAAAUGAAAAAACUACAUUAAACAUAUGUAAGAUUACCAUUUUC